ACUAGAAAAUGCAGAUUUGGCGCGUUUCCCAAAGCCAUAGCUGCUAACUAAGUUAGCAACUUUGUUGGUUGCAAUGAAAUUUCCCAUUGCCAACCAACUAAGUUGCUAACAGG